UACAGAGGGUGCAAGCGUUAAUCGGAAUUACUGGGCGUAAAGCGUGCGUAGUCGGCUUUUUAAGUCGGGUGUGAAAUCCCCGGGCUCAACCUGGGAAUUGCAUUCGAUACUGGAUAGCUAGAGUUCGGCAGAGGGAAGUGGAAUUUCUGGUGUAGCGGUGAAAUGCGUAGAUAUCAGAAGGAACAUCAGUGGCGAAGGCGACUUCCUGGACCAGAACUGACGAUCAGGCACGAAAGCGUGGGGAGCAAACAGG
rnacentral:rRNA from 1 species